rnacentral:rRNA from 1 species
GACGAAAGUCUGAUGCAGCAACGCCGCGUGGGGGAUGAAGCUUCUCGGAGUGUAAACCCCUUUCGACCCGGAAGAAUGCCCGCAAGGGUUUGACGGUACGGGUAUAAGAAGCCCCGGCUAACUACGUGCCAGCAGCCGCGGUAAUACGUAGGGGGCCAGCGUUGCUCGGAAUUACUGGGCGUAAAGGGUCCGUAGGCGGUGUGGCAAGUCGGGAGUGAAAUCUCUGGGCUUAACCCAGAGGCUGCUUCCGAAACUGCCGUGCUAGAGUGUGAGAGAGGCGAGUGGAAUUACGGGUGUAGCGGUGAAAUGCGUAGAUAUCCGUAGGAACAUCCGAGGCGAAGGCGGCUCGCUGGAUCACAACUGACGCUGAGGGACGAAAGCUAGGGGAGCAAACAGGAUUAGAUACCCUGGUAGUCCUAGCCCUAAACCAUCAGGACUUGGGGUUUGCCCUGUACGGGGCAAGUCCCGUAGCUAACGCGUUAAGUCCUGCGCCUGGGGAGUAC